UUUGUCCCUCACACGAUUCACUCUCUCCCUCUAUAAUAUCCAGCCAUCUUUUCAUUUUGUCACAAGAAAACUCCUGCAAAUCCGGUCGAAACUCGCACAUCGAUCUUUCAUCUUCGCUUGUUAAGUUUUCUUCAUCGUUUUCCAUGUCAUUCCUCUAUAAGUCUAUGUACAUCUUCCGUAAGAUUUUGCAUGCUCUUUCUUCUUCAAGUUACAGUUCGUUUGGUGAAGAUUCAAGCUGCCCCUAAAACCAUUUCGCCUUGGUUUUGGCUCUAGCACAUGUAUGGUUAUCAUCCGAGUAAGUAGAAGAAAAUAAAUCCACACCGAAAGAGUAUAACAUUUUAGCAAGAUCGUGAACAACAGUAGGGGCUGAGGCAGACGUGGGACCCGGUGACAGCUCAAUUUCAAGAUCAUGUAUAAUUAUCUUUAUCGCAUUUCUCUUUCGAAAAUAAAGAGUGGUAGACCUUGGACUUUUGUAUUAUAGUUUUCGUAUC